rnacentral:sRNA from 1 species
UACACCCGUUACAAUAUUGUUUAUAUAACAGUGAUUAGUUAUCUACUAGUCAAAUAUGAAAAAAGAAGACAAAGAGAAGAGGAGGAGAAAUGAUGUAUGAGGUUGUAAGAAGUUAAGUUUGUACUGAAGUGAGCUGACCCUUUGACUAGUGGUGGAAAGGGUCAGGUCAGCUGACCUGCACUAGCGUGGUCAGAUGAGUCACCCGAGGGGUCAGUUGAACUGUAACCUGAGUGAUAACGGAUGUAAAUAUUCAUUGCUAACUCAAUCAGUACAAAAUGGUGGUUCGGACCGAAGAGAUCAACGUGAAUGUCCUCAAGCUAACUUACGAUUAGCACCUUUGAUCGGCACCUAAGGAAUCAAUCCCCAGCCGAGCUUGUAAGAAGAAUAUCCCCACCGUGGAAAUCAAAUACGUCAAAAUCAAUCUCACCUGUGAACUUUGUCAACGCCGGUCAAUGGGUGAUAAUACGCUCGACCAUUGCACUGAAGAUCCAAAUGUGAAAUGGGCCUCAUGGAAGGCGUAACGCAUGAUGAUAGCGAAAAGAUAAAUAC